rnacentral:rRNA from 1 species
GACGAACGCUGGCGGCGCGCUUAACACAUGCAAGUCGAGCGAAGCGGCGGACGGGUGAGUAACACGUGAGUAACCUGCAUUUGACAUUGGGAUAGCCUCGGGAAACUGGGAUUAAUACCAAAUGGUCUAAGAUGGACUCGCGUCCCAUUAGCUAGUUGGUGAGGUAACGGCCCACCAAGGCGGCGAUGGGUAGCCGGCCUUAGAGGGGGAACGGCCACAUUGGAACUGAGAAACGGUCCAAACUCUACGGGAUGCAGCAGUGGGGAAUAUUGCACAAUGGAGGGAACUCUGAUGCAGCGACGCCGCGUGAACGAAGAAGGCUUUCGAGUCGUAAAGUUCUUUUAUAUGGGAAGCGGUACCAUAAGAAAAAGCCCCGGCUAACUACGUGCCAGCAGCCGCGGUAAUUC